CUUCAGACCAGAUCUGUGCCCCAGGACAGCCUCGUUUUCAGCUGCAGCCCCUCCCAGCUUUGGUCAGCCUGGCUUCCUACGGUUCACAGUUCUCUAGAUGGGAUUCCGUUGGUCUCUUCCCAGCCCUGUGACCUCAGGUGUAUCCGAAGGUGGUUUGAACGUCACGAACCUCCAUGUAAAGACAUAGAGUCAUGAGCUCUCCAGGUUGUGAUCCAGCGGCCCUGUCAGUUCGCUGAGCGGUACCAGGCUUCUGCGUCUGCUCUCCGUCUCGUCCUGGGUCAGGGGUAGUAAGAGAGCGGAGCUUGUUAGAGCUGUGUAUGAAGUAAAAGUACAUAAAUUCCCGAUGAAGGCCCGAGAGCCAGGGGCUUCCUG